GGGAUAACAGACAAGUAAAUUAGCCAUACAUUCAUGCUUGUGAGCCAGCUUUAAACGCGACUGCAGAACUCCAAGAAGAACUAUAAAACAACUGGGGAAAAAAAAAAAAAAAGUAAAAUACUUUGGCUAAGGCAACAUUUGGCAUUCUACAUUCAAGAUAAAUAAAAAAAAUGCUGGCACUUUAUAGCACUAUUUGUUAUUUACCUUUUUCUAGGCACAGGUCCUCAGCUAGUACCUAACAACAAACCUGAGAGCUAACAUUUGUUCUUUAACUGAAAUCCAACCUCUCCUCACUAUGUAAAACAUCAAUAAUGAAAAUUGUUUAACAUUCCUAAAUAGGUAUCAUUAGAAACUUGCCUGAGGUUUCUGCCUCCUAAUCAAUCUUUUAAAGUUCAAGGAACUUACUGGAGGAAGGAAUGAAACAUUUGCAUUUACUAACACAUCCUAAAGAUGCCUAGUUCUCUCCUUUACAAACUUGUCUUCACUGCAGUUCUGCCUGAAUACUGAAUCAAGCAUCUUUGAUAUGAGGCACUAUCAUACUUGUUAAAUCCAGCUACAGAAGAUGAAGCAGUGUCAUGGCCCCCAGUUACUCCACUGCACAGAUCAGUGAUCAUUAAGACUACAGGUGAAGAUGGAUUUGCACUCAUGUCUUGCGUGGUUUAUUGGGAGAUUUAAGCAUAUAUUUUCCACUCUUCUGUCACUUGCAGGACAGUAACAUCUUUCAGAGCAUCAAGAUGACUGACAACAUAGAAGCAGGGAAAACUCCCCUGAGGCUCCCUUGUCACAGGAAAUCAUGUUCUUCCUCAGAACACCUGCCUGGCAGCCCCAUCUUCUUACUUUAGUAGUUUAAUUCAACAAUCACUGUUCAACCUAUUGCCGUCUGCAGUAUUCCUAUUUCCUCUUCCUGGUCUUGAGACUACCGUACAUCUUUUGACUUGCUGGUAUUUCUUUUUAAUCUAGGCACUUAACCACCUUAAAAUUUGCAUCCAGGUCUCCACUACUGGAUUUACACUUGUACCUCACAUUGUAACACUUUAAAGCAUGACUUCAGCAAGUGUCAGUUGACAGCUAUGUUCAGAGUAUGAUCCAUUUGUCUAUAAAGCACAAUUUUUACAAAAAAUCCAGGCCACAAGUACACAAGCUAACACUUACAGUUACUUUAGAGAUGUCUCACACUAGCAACCCUGACUACAGGAGACUUAAUCAGUUCAGCACUAUCUUAACACUCCCCUGCCACAUCAUCCACAACACCAGACUUGUGAGAGAAACCAGUGUUCUAUUUUACAUUAUACCUAAUUUUGUGUAAUUUAAUGGCAGUCUAUCAACUAAUUGACCACACUCCUUGUGUGCUGCUGUAACACCUAAUCCAACAGAAAGUUAACCCCUAUUGAAGAAAGGGAAGAACAGUUCCAUUAGAUAAAUUUAUCACUGACUUGAUUCAGCUUGUAGAAAAGACUACUGAUGUGGAGCUGUUAGGGCAGGGAGCACAAGAGUGAAAAAUAACGAGAAAAAUCUUUCUGGGGCAGCAAGCAGUUGUAGCGGGUUAGGUUUGACAUUAAACUAUAUCCUCAGGGUCAAAAAAAAAAAAAUGUACUGAAUGGCAGCUAAGUGAAUCCUCAUAUUCUCUAACCUUAGUUUGCUGAUUUACCUCGCAUUGCAAAGUCUCUUCUCCAAGUGUGGCAGAUUUUUUCAAGCAUUAGGCAACAUAUUUGAGUGAACUAUUUCUUUAUGGGUGCUUUUCACAGAACAGCUCAAUUAAGGUUUAAGAAGACAUACUAAUUUACUAAGAGAUGUAAAAAAUUUUGCUCUCUUGCAUAUUCUGAGGAAAAAAAAUUAAUUCAUAUUUUAGUCAUGUAUCCCACUUUUAAGAAAAAUGCAUUAACAAUAUGUUCUGGAACUCUAAAACAGAGACAAUCUCCUGGUGCACCCUGAAAUACAGAUUGAGCCGGAUAAAGGAAUCUUCCUUCAACACCUUCCAUUUGGUCUGCUGAUGUCAAGCACACUGUUAAGAAAGAGCUGAGUGGAGACAGCUGCUUUGUACUCUUCUGUAAGUGUGAAAUAUAGACCAGCCUCCAAGUAGGUUGUAUCUGCUUCCUCCUUCAGUGGUCUUUGCUGUUUACCUGUCAGGCAGAACAGUGCAUGGAUUUCUUGGAGCAAGUUCUCCCUCAAUACAAGCUGUUAAAAUAAAACUUGGAACCUUUUGGCUGCAUGCUGCCAAAUCCCCA